ACCAUAUAUUGCAGGAAAUGGAAUGCAAGAUGGAAUAAUGUUGCUGAGUAAUAAAUACGUGCAAGUUUCUUUGACUUUAUUUGAACUUUAUAUGUUGUUGACAAUACGGCAUGGCAUGGUACGUACAUUCAUAUAUACUCUUGCUACUCCUUCUAAAGUAGCAUGUAUCUCUUUACAUAAAGAAAAAAAUUAUAUAACAGAUGUCUUUCAAUAAUUGAGUAUGACAAUCAAAAUCAAAAUGGGAGUAUAUUUGCCAUUAUUUGAACCUGUUCAAACAUUGAUGGGAAAAUUACCACCAAAAAUUAUGAAGUAGAAAAAUUGAAUGGAUACAUUAAAGAAGUUAACCAGCGUAAAGUGAAAUACUAAGGCAAAUAACAAGAACGUACUCUGAAAAGAAAUACAAUUACUUUGUCGCAAGAUAUAUCUGGAAAUAUGUUUAAGCAUUUAUUCAGACAUUAAUGAGGAAAUUACAACAAAGAAUUUAUGGAGUAGGAAAAUUUGAUAGAUACAGUGAACAAAUUAUCCAAAGAGGAUUAUAAAAUUAGAUAUGUUUGUUUUCCAAAUCAUCGACUAUAAAAACAAUGUAAUGCCAGCAUAUUUUAA